UGUGCCCAACCUCUGAGCUAAUUGCUCACCAAUCACAUAACACAGUUAUCCAGCUGUGAGCUGGACAUUUCGUCGAGAAGGAUACUGGCAGAAACGGUCUCA